GCCCUAGUAACGGCGAGUGAAGCGGCAACAGCUCAAAUUUGGAAUCUGGCUUCGGCCCGAGUUGUAAUUUGCAGAGGAUGUUUAUGGCGCGGUGCCUUCCGAGUUCCCUGGAACGGGACGCCACAGAGGGUGAGAGCCCCGUUUGGUUGGACACCAAGCCUGUGUUAAACUCCCUCGACGAGUCGAGUAGUUUGGGAAUGCUGCUCUAAAUGGGAGGUAAAUCUCUUCUAAAGCUAAAUACUGGCCAGAGACCGAUAGCGCACAAGUAGAGUGAUCGAAAGAUGAAAAGCACCUUGAAAAGGGGGUUAAACAGUACGUGAAAUUGUUGAAAGGGAAGCGUUCAUGACCAGACGUGCGCCGUGUGGCUCAUCCGGGGCUCGUCCCCGGUGCACUCCACGCGGCGCAGGCCAGCAUCGGUUUCCGCCGGGGGAGAAGAGCCGCAGGAACGUGGCUUUCUUCGGAAAGUGUUAUAGCCUGUGGCACGAUGCCCUGGCGGGGACCGAGGACCCGCGCUCCGGCUAGGAUGUUGGCGUAAUGGUCAUCAGCGACCCGUCUUGAAACACGGACCAAGGAGUCGUCCAUUAGAGCGAGCGUUUGGGUGCCGAAACCCGCACGCGUAAUGAAAGUGAAACUAGGUGAGAGCUUCGGCGCAUCAUCGACCGAUCCUGAAGUGUACGGAUGGAUUUGAGUAAGAGUUCUGACGGACGGACCCGAAAGACAGUGAACUAUGCUUGAAUAGGGUGAAGCCAGAGGAAACUCUGGUGGAGGCUCGCAGCGGUUCUGACGUGCA
rnacentral:rRNA from 1 species